CCUACGGGUGGCAGCAGUGAGGAAUAUUGGUCAAUGGGCUUACGCCUGAACCAGCCAAGUCGCGUGAGGGAAGACUGCCCUAUGGGUUGUAAACCUCUUUUGUCAGGGAGCAACGCCGGCUACGUGUAGCCGGACUGAGAGUACCUGAAGAAAAAGCAUCGGCUAACUCCGUGCCAGCAGCCGCGGUAAUACGGAGGAUGCGAGCGUUAUCCGGAUUUAGUGGGUUUAAAGGGUGCGUAGGCGGAAUGCCAAGUAAGCGGUAAAAUCGCGGGGCUCAACCUCGCUCCGCCAUUGAAACUGGGGUGCUUGAGUGGGCGAGAAGUACGCGGAAUGCGUGGUGUAGCGGUGAAAUGCAUAGAUAUCACGAAGAACUCCGAGUGCGAAGGCAGCAGACCGGCGCCCAACUGACGCUGAAGCACGAAAGCGUGGGUAUCGAACAGGAUUAGAUACCCCUGUAGUC
rnacentral:rRNA from 1 species